AUUGAGGACUGAAUUCAAGCGUCAAAGAAGCCAUUUCACGGCCAGGAGACUAUCAGACCUGGUGUCCACUUCUUCAUAAGCUAUUUUAACUUUCUAUUUCUCUACCAAUGGUCCGACCCCAGGCCAGCCAAUCCCGAGCUCUAUUUGUUCUAUUUCAUUAAAACGCGCAAACCACACCCACCGACGGAGAACCAAACUGAUACGGGAUGAAGAUCUGCUUCAGGAAAUUCGGAAGUUCACAAUGUGACGGCUGGCCCCUAGGCGGGCAAGGCUCACCUCUUCAACCUCAACAGCCCAAACCAAAAAAAUAAAAGUGAAGUAUUUAGAAUGAUGAAUAUGGAGUUGUAUAUUUGCUGAUCUAUUAGCACAUAUAGCGGGAACUCUAUUGUAAAAUGCAAUUAUUUCAAAAUAGUUAGGUUAUACUGUGUAAAUGCCAGUUUGUAGGUCAAGGAAUCAUUGCAGUUCAAUUCAAGCUCAGAAUACUAUAAUUUCA